GAAACACCAUUAAAUUGAAAGAGACUGAGAGAGACUCUGAUAAACAGAGAGUGAGAUCCCAUGGUUUCCGAUCAAAAAAAAAAAAAAAAAACCGCUUCCCAGUUCCUUUCAAAAACUCUUUGUUUCCAGUUACGCUAAAACGAUCUUUUUGCUUUUUGAUUUUUCCAGAAAAAGAAGCAAAAGAAGAAGGAAGAUGAAAAACAAAAUCCAAAACUUAGAUGAGAAAGAACUAAGCGAUCAGAGGUGCCAUCUCCGAUUCUCUCACACAAUGGCCACCGAUUCAUCAGACCAACUCAAUCUCAACCCUACUACUACUACAGAAGAAAACCCUAAACAAACCCUAGACGAUGACACUACUACUGCUGUCACACCCAUCAGAUCGCCUCAAAGAAGAAGAAAAGGAAGAACCAACUGAUAAGGCUUUCAAUCAGCCUUCUGUAACCACCGUCGAUUCCGAUGCGAAGUACGGCGAGGAUUCAAAGAGCACUAUAGUCACUGCCUAUAGCAGGGGAUGUUGUUGAUGUGGAUACGGCUUCCAAUCGUUUCACUCCGCACUCCAAGUACAAAUAUAGAAAAGUUACUGGAUUCUCUAAUAGGAGAAUUAUCAUUGGGUUCUCUACAAUAAAAUGAAAGGUCAAAGCUGAUUGGUUGUGUUAUGUGGAAUCUACAACUGUAUAGGAACCUUGCUCUUUUAUAGUUUUAGAGUUAAAAUAAGGACAGGUUCCAUGUGCUUUUCCAUCUUGCAAGUUCCUAGAUGUAGAAUUCCCAUCUUAGCUACUUUCUGGAGGGAAAGCUUCCACAGUUUGAGUAGGACUGACAAAAGCAGUUUAGCUUUAGGGUACUUGGUUCUAAUAUCUAUGGGCUUAAGAGAGGUUACAAUAGAAAAUGGACUCAAAGUCCUAUAUUUACAAAAAGUGAUACAUUUAGUGUAAAUAACACAGAGAUUAGUCAAUUCCACAAUAAUGAAUAUUGUGAAUCAUAAGAUUCACUUCUUAUA